GACGAACGCUGGCGGCGUGCUUAACACAUGCAAGUCGAACGGAAAGGCCCCUUUGGGGGUACUCGAGUGGCGGACGGGUGAGUAACACGUGAGUAACCUGCCCUUGACUUCGGGAUAACUUCAGGAAACUGGGGCUAAUACCGGAUAGGAAUCCUUGCUGCAGGGUGGGGGUUGGAAAGCUUCGGCGGUUUUGGAUGGACUCGCGGCUUAUCAGCUUGUUGGUGGGGUAGUGGCUUACCAAGGCUUUGACGGGUAGCCGGCCUGGGGGGGCGACCGGCCACAUUGGGACUGGGAUACGGCCCAGACCCCUACGGGGGGGAACAGGGGGGGAUAUUGGACAAUGGGCCGGAGGCUGAUGCAGCAACGCCGCGGGCGGGAUGACGGGCUUCGGGUUGGAAAACGCCUUCAGCAGGGGCGAAGCUGGGGGUGACGGUACCUGCAGAAGAAGCACCGGCUAACUACGUG
rnacentral:rRNA from 1 species